GUUACAUAUGCUCAGUUGGUUAGAGUGUGGUGCUAACAACGCCAGGGUAGCAGGUUCAAUCCCUGUAAGGGACA